CGCGUGCCCUUUCCGGACAUGAACCUCAUUAGCUUCGCGGCCACGGUGCUCUGCGCCGCGGAAGGCUGUGACCACCAUGGCUGCCAAGGACAAGGUGGGGCGUUCCGUGUGGCCGUCAUUUCCGUCAUUUCUACCACACGGACACGGCUGACCAAAACCGCAUCUGCCUGCUUAUACUCAUCAGAGACUGGCUUGUGGAGCGAGCUCACCACUGUUGACAAUCUUGAAGCCUCGGGCCAGAAUCCGAUUGUGACGAGCAUCAUUGUGGAUAAUGCGCUCUACUUCAACAGCAUUGGAAAUCACAUUGUCAAGUACCAACUAGCCACACUUGACUUGUCACUGUUUAAGAAGCCGAUCAGGUGCUGUGGGGAACUCAUUACAACGGAAGACGGUGGGUUGGGAUUUGCUUCCCUAAAUUGCAAAGCCUUAACCCUGUGGUCAAGGGAGACCAGCCCUGAUGGAGCCGUGGGAUGGUCAAAACAAAGGGAAAUCGAUCUCGUGAUGCUACUCCCUGAUGGUGCUCGCUCUACCGCAACAUCGUCUAGUAGGCUGUACAUUACGCGUGAGUAUGGCUUCUUGAGUGGCACCCAAGUAAUUUUCGUGGCACACCUGUUGGUGUCUACAUGAUUGACAUUAAGUCAGGGAGAGCCAAGAAGUUGCUCGAGAAGCUCGAAUGUUGUCGAGUAUUUCCCUAUGCGAGCUUCUGCAUUCCAGCAAUGGAAGCAGCUUCUACAGGCCAGGGGCAAUGAGUCAGUGUUUCAAGUGUUUGGCAGCCUCUCAUUGCUAGAGCAGAAGUUUCUGAAUGAAGAAGAGGUCCUGGUAGUGAUGUUAGAUACGACACAAGUGCGUAUUUGAAUAUGUAAAAUUACUGCUGAUCUUAGUCUUGCUUUAUGGAGCUCUGUUUAAGAGGUUGAUUUGGUACCUUGCUUGUUUAGUUCGACAAGUGCUUCUAUGUAAGCUGGUAGCCCUAGCAUGACUCGCCUCUGGAGCUCAAAAUGUCAGUUUGAAUUUUGGAAUAAAAAAUUGUAAAUUAAAGCUUCCUUUUGACUAAAAUUAUCUAUGCUUGUGAAAAUAACUGCAGGAAGUUUACACUUCUUAACAGCGCAUU